GUCCGGCUGCGGGGAGCCGUCCCUGCAUGGGCGAUGGGAGCUUGGCUUCCCCCAAGGGCUUUCUGGUGGGAAAUGGGAGUCUCCCAAACUUUCCUACAGUGAGGGUUUUAUAGGCAAAACCAUGCCAAAAAUGUUUGUCUGGUCACCUUAAAACUACCCUUAUCACCCCAAAUCCUGGGUUGUGCAAAGGGGUGUUGAACACGUUCCGUGGAGCACCCAAAGGGUCCAUCACUCAGCAUCCUGAAGCUGCCUCCGAGCGAUUCCCAGGACCCAAGCGGGCUGCUGCAGCAGUUUAUGUUUGCCUAUCGAAGUGAAAUCUCUCAUGCGUGCGUGGAGCCGAGUUCCUUUCACAUAUUGCACCAGCCUCAAGUAAAUCUGUUCUUAAACAAAGAAAUGGAACUACUCGGGUCAAAUGUUCAGGGUGAUCUUGGUCUGCGUAGUAAUUACAAUCAGAGAUAUGUUAAACUACCUGAAAAUAAUUCACUUCCACAGGAAAAAAGUAUACCUACAAGUUUAUGGUUUGCGGGUCAUUGUCAUCUACCCUACUUCCACCUGCUGUAAUAAAUUCUGGUGAAAUAUCUACUACUGAGUACUGAACUUAAAGAUUUUUUUUUUUUUUUCCCAAGCCUUCAAUAUUUACCACCUUUUGCCAGAUUACGUCAUGCAACCUUCAACAAUGUUGUGACUUUUUUUUAGCUGAUGGGAUGCAGAGGAGCAGGGGACCUCAUCCGCUUGAAAUUUCUUUGAUGUUCCCCACAGGAAGUUUUUUAAUAUUUGGUCAAUUGGAUGUUUUUCAAGUAUUUCAUUGUGGUCGGGACCUAGGACAACCGUCUGCUAUUUUUGCAAGUUGGCGAUGAGAAAGGUGGACCCGUUCAUUGUGCUCUGCAACGCUUCCAGUGGCAGGGAUGAUGCUGAGCGCAUGGUCCUGUGCGAGCCUGCAGGACAGGAGCGCGGUGCCAUCAAACAUAUUUUGCAAGAGCAAAAUCUCAGUGAUUUUGAAGUUUUGGUUUCCUGAGGGUCAGCGUCCUAAGAGCAUGUUGGUGCAAUGGAGAAGGAUGAUGGUGACCUGGAAAGUAAGAGAGACGGGUUGGGGGAGCUGGAAGUAAAACCAGGUUGAGCAUCACCUGUCACGGGAGGAUUUCACUCGUAUCAGGAGUAUAUCAAAGCUUGACAAAUUCACCUGUUGGAGACUUCACACAGCUGAUUUAUUUGCCAGGACAGGUGGAGAGCUGCCCAAGCUUACUGCUGAGCAAAGUGGCAUAAGAAGAGGCACAUUAAAGAAGUUCUGCCUCUGAUUGCAGCAACGAGAGCGCGACUGUUACAGCGCCGCAAAUUAGCAGACGGUUUUAAACCAGCUCCCAAGCACUGAAAUUAAAAGCACUUAAUACAGGAAUCAUAUUCUCUAGCUAAGGCACAACGGGACUCUGGUGAAUUUAGUUUAUAAUGUUUCCGUGUUGUAACAGAAAUUUGUCUUUUUGAGGCAAUCAGGGGAGCCGCAUUACAGCAGGACUUGCAAAGAUUCGUGUUUGUGUCUAGUGGCUGCAAGUGCAUUAACUCUUUCGUGUGAACUUCUCUGCGAGUGCCACGAUUUCUUCUAUGCUGAAUUCAGUGGACCUCUGAAAAAUAACGUUCAAUUCAAGGACCUGGGAAGCGCAGAAGAACGAAAGGCUCGCCUUCUUGCCGCAGCCAGCGCUCCUCGCUGCCCGUUUCCCUCUGCCCUCCAAGGAACAGGACAAAAGCGCUUCUGUCCGCAGGUGCUCUGCUUUGCGUAUGAUUCUGAUUUCCACUCCAGAGCUCUUCAUACCCUCUCGAUGCUGUGCCAUGGCCUGAGCUGGAGCCCUGAAACCACACGAUUCCUGCACCUGCCUCUGCUACCAGCUUCCCAGGUGGCCUUUGGAAUAUUUUCAUUUAUUCACUAUAUGGUGGUUUUACACCACUCUGGCCUCUAACUUGCAUCUGAGAUUCCUGCCAUGUAUUUUAAUGCAUAAUGCAUUUUGGGAUGCAGUUUGCGUGCUACUACGUAAAAUAUGGUUGUAUUGUUCAUAUGGCAAAUCAUUUUUUAAUUCAUAAUCCUGGGACAAGCAAAAUGAAUGCAAUUUUUCUUUAAUUUUUACAGCGCGAGAGUGAACACAGUAGAGCAGAAAAGGUUUUUCUUGUUUGCGGAGCCGCGUUGCAGGGUUUGGGGCUGUGUCGUGCGUGUUGGUGGAGCGAGAUGCGAGGCAGACGUGCUCGCUUUGAUUGGUUUUGGGGGAGGUUGUGCGGUGGCGUAGCUCACAGUGGAGCUGGCACAGCUUCCAGGCCUGGGGUUAAGUUGCUCAGUUUGGUUCAAUUGGUAAUUAAUAAAAGCAAUGGCCAAUUUGACUUUAUACCAUGUGUCUGUCUGUGUGGAACCUGGCACACGCAAACCCUCUCUCUACCGAGCAAGAUGGUCAGUGUAUUUUUUUGACGUGCACAUUAUUCCGGGAACCUGGAAGCGUGUGAAGUUUCGGUGAGGGGGAAGAAGCCUCCUGGCCCCUGACAUAGGUUUAAACCCGUAGUUAAAUAUGACUUUCAAAAUGUUUUUUAAGUGCUGGUGUAGGCUCACCUCCUACAGCUUCCAGAUUUUUAGUAGAUGGGUCCAUCAGAGUUUCAGGGCAGCAUCUCAGCAGUUGGGUUGUCUCGUAAACCCAGAAGGGGCCACCAACAUUUUGGUGGAAGACUUCCCCCCCUCACCCCUCCAAAGAGGAACAUCUGCUCCUUAGCAUGCUGCUCAUUUCCAUGGCAGGACUCCAGUUGCUCUUCCAACGCAGAGCUCGGCAAUAGUAGCGCUGGUGUCUGA